rnacentral:misc_RNA from 1 species
GCAAACUUGGUCAUUUAGAGGAAGUAAAAGUCGUAACAAGGUCUCCGUUGGUGAACCAGCGGAGGGAUCAUUACCGAGUUUUCAACUCCCUUACCCUGUGUGAACGCUACCAGACGUUGCUUCGGCGGCGAGCCCCCGGCCACCGCGCCGGGUCCGGGCUCCCGCCGGAGGACCAACAACUCUUUGUCUUUUUUUGCGAGUCUCUGAGGCGGCCUUCGUGCCGACAAAACAAAAAUGAAUCAAAACUUUCAACAACGGAUCUCUUGGUUCUGGCAUCGAUGAAGAACGCAGC